GGACCCGUAGCCCAGACAGGAUUAAGGCGUCGGCCUUCGGAGCCGGAGAUCGAGGGUUCAAAUCCCUCCGGGUCCG
rnacentral:tRNA from 1 species